rnacentral:rRNA from 1 species
UACAGAGACUGCAAGCGUUAUUCGGAUUCACUGGGCGUAAAGGGUGCGCAGGCCGCCAUGUGUGUGAGGUGUGAAAUCCCGGAGCUUAACUCCGGAACUGCGCCUCAAACUACAUGGCUAGAGCAUUGGAGAGGGAAGUGGAAUUCACGGUGUAGCAGUGAAAUGCGUAGAUAUUCGGAAGAACACCAGUGGCGAAGGCGGCUCACUGGACUGGUAUUGACGCUGAGGUGCGAAAGCGUGGGGAGCAAACAGGG